GGGUGUGAAGUUUGGUUGUAUGUAAGGCCCAGGAGCAUCUAGCAUGGAGGUUCUACACCUGGUUUUCUGAGAAGGGGUCCAUGGUACGAAAAAGAAUCCCUGCUACAGGACCAAUCGAAUAUUUGAUCAGGGAUUCUUGUCAGGACUUGACCAGACCUGGGAAUCCCAUGCCUGUUCUAGGGUGGUCCUCUCUGGAACAUCUUCACGUCAGCUUCCAGUCUGAGAAAACAGGAGAAUGAGCAGCUGGGUCCCUCACAGAGGUGCCAUUAUCAUCUUGGGGAACCCUGAGAUGUUCAAGCCAGAAAAGAGAAAGCUACAAACCAUAUGCAAAAUGAACAGAAGCAAUUUGAUGUUACAUGUUAAUUCAGAGAAACAAUCUGGCUUAAGGGAGAGAGAGUUGGACUUGGAAUCAGGAAGACCUACUGACAAGACAUUGGAUCUGCAAGUAUUGAUUGUGCAGUCCUUAGGUUUCGCUGUUUGUAUAAAUUUGAGAAGAAACUGAAGAAGAAGGACCAUUCACAGGGUUAACUGGAGUUUUCAUUAGCUGCAUCGAAUUCUCUUGUCCUCUGAGGACACAGUGACUGGCUGGCAUGCUUCUAUUCUCACUUCCCUAAAUAAAGGAAACGAGGAAAAAUACCCUUUUUUCUUCUCAGGCUGUAGUUAACUUUCAGAUGUUUUCUUCUUGCCUUCUCCCCACCACAGAAGUGUUUAAAAGCUGUGGUAGGGUGUCAGCCAUCCUCAGCAUUGUCAGCACAGAGUAGACACAUACUGUACACGGAAUAAACCUGUUUGUUUUGU